rnacentral:rRNA from 1 species
UACGUAGGGUGCAAGCGUUGUCCGGAAUUAUUGGGCGUAAAGAGCUUGUAGGCGGUUUGUCGCGUCUGCUGUGAAAUUUCGGGGCUCAACCCCGAACUUGCAGUGGGUACGGGCAGACUAGAGUGUGGUAGGGGAGACUGGAAUUCCUGGUGUAGCGGUGAAAUGCGUAGAUAUCAGGAGGAACACCGAUGGCGAAGGCAGGUCUCUGGGCCAUAACUGACGCUGAGAAGCGAAAGCAUGGGGAGCGAACAGG